CGGACGGGUGAGUAAUGUCUGGGAAACUGCCUGAUGGAGGGGGAUAACUACUGGAAACGGUAGCUAAUACCGCAUAACGUCGCAAGACCAAAGUGGGGGACCUUCGGGCCUCAUGCCAUAAGGUGUGCCCAGAUGGGAUUAGCUAGUAGGUGGGGUAACGGCUCACCUAGGCGACGAUCCCUAGCUGGUCUGAGAGGAUGACCAGCCACACUGGAACUGAGACACGGUCCAG
rnacentral:rRNA from 1 species